UAGAGCGCAUUAGCUGUGCCGCUGCAAUCCUGUCAUUUCUCGGCGCGCUCCGGUGUGUCGUAGGAGGUGAAGCGAUGCCGGCUCGGCUGUGCUUCUGUGAGUCAGACUCUCGGAAGCCCGGGAGACAGAGAUCUGGAGACAGAGACAUGGAGACACACAGAGGGGAGAUUACGAUGUGACGAUGGAGGCAGAGAUUGGAGCGAUGCAGCUACAAGCCAGGGAACACCGAGGAUUGCUGGCAGCCACCAGGAGCUGGGAGGGAGGCAUGGCACAGACCCCCCUCAGAGCCUCUGGAAGGAACCAACCUUGCCAACACCUUGAUUUCACACUUCUGGCCCCCAGAACUGUGAGAAAAUACAUUUCUGUUGUUUUAA